GGUCGGUUCGUCUAGUGGCAGGACAUAGGAUUUUCAGUCCUAGUACAGGAGUUCGACUCUCCUACCGACUACCA
rnacentral:tRNA from 1 species